rnacentral:rRNA from 1 species
AUAACUAAUCGAAAGAUUAGCUAAUACCGCAUAUUCUCUGAGGAGGAAAGCAGGGGACCUUCGGGCCUUGCGUUAUUCGAGCGGCCGAUAUCUGAUUAGCUAGUUGGUGGGGUAAAGGCCUACCAAGGCGACGAUCAGUAGCGGGUCUGAGAGGAUGAUCCGCCACACUGGGACUGAGACACGGCCCAGACUCCUACGGGAGGCAGCAGUGGGGAAUUUUGGACAAUGGGCGCAAGCCUGAUCCAGCCAUGCCGCGUGUCUGAAGAAGGCCUUCGGGUUGUAAAGGACUUUUGUCAGGGAAGAAAAAGCUGUUGCUAAUAUCGACAGCUGAUGACGGUACCUGAAGAAUAAGCACCGGCUAACUACGUGCCAGCAGCCGCGGUAAUACGUAGGGUGCGAGCGUUAAUCGGAAUUACUGGGCGUAAAGCGAGCGCAGACGGUUACUUAAGCAGGAUGUGAAAUCCCCGGGCUCAACCUGGGAACUGCGUUCUGAACUGGGUGACUAGAGUGUGUCAGAGGGAGGUAGAAUUCCACGUGUAGCAGUGAAAUGCGUAGAGAUGUGGAGGAAUACCGAUGGCGAAGGCAGCCUCCUGGGAUAACACUGACGUUCAUGCUCGAAAGCGUGGGUAGCAAACAGGAUUAGAUACCCUGGUAGUCCACGCCCUAAACGAUGUCAAUUAGCUGUUGGGCAACUUGAUUGCUUAGUAGCGUAGCUAACGCGUGAAACUGACCGCC